rnacentral:rRNA from 1 species
AUUGAACGCUGGCGGCAUGCCUUACACAUGCAAGUCGAACGGUAACAGGUCUUCGGAUGCUGACGAGUGACGAACGGGUGAGUAAUACAUCGGAACGUGCCCGAUCGUGGGGGAUAACGAGGCGAAAGCUUUGCUAAUACCGCAUACGAUCUACGGAUGAAAGCGGGGGAUCUUCGGACCUCGCGCGGACGGAGCGGCCGAUGGCAGAUUAGGUAGUUGGUGGGAUAAAAGCUUACCAAGCCGACGAUCUGUAGCUGGUCUGAGAGGAUGAUCAGCCACACUGGGACUGAGACACGGCCCAGACUCCUACGGGAGGCAGCAGUGGGGAAUUUUGGACAAUGGGCGAAAGCCUGAUCCAGCCAUGCCGCGUGCAGGAUGAAGGCCUUCGGGUUGUAAACUGCUUUUGUACGGAACGAAAAGCCUCUUUCUAAUAAAGAGAGGUCAUGACGGUACCGUAAGAAUAAGCACCGGCUAACUACGUG